rnacentral:tRNA from 1 species
GGGCUUGUGGUCUAGCUGGUUAUGAUAUCGCCUUUACAAGGCGGGGAUCAGCGGUUCGAAUCCGCUCAAGCCCA